UACGUAGGGUGCAAGCGUUAAUCGGAAUUACUGGGCGUAAAGCGUGCGCAGGCGGUUUUGUAAGUCUGACGUGAAAGCCCCGAGCUCAACCUGGGAAUUGCGUUGGAGACUGCAAGGCUUGAAUCUGGCAGAGGGGGGUAGAAUUCCACGUGUAGCAGUGAAAUGCGUAGAGAUGUGGAGGAACACCGAUGGCGAAGGCAGCCCCCUGGGUCAAGAUUGACGCUCAUGCACGAAAGCGUGGGGAGCAAACAGG
rnacentral:rRNA from 1 species